rnacentral:rRNA from 1 species
GACGAACGCUGGCGGCGUGCUUAACACAUGCAAGUCGAACGGAAAGGCCCCUUUGGGGGUACUCGAGUGGCGAACGGGUGAGUAACACGUGAGUAACCUGCCCUUGACUUCGGGAUAACUUCAGGAAACUGGGGCUAAUACCGGAUAGGAAUCCUUGCUGCAUGGUGGGGGUUGGAAAGCUUCGGCGGUUUUGGAUGGACUCGCGGCUUAUCAGCUUGUUGGUGGGGUAGUGGCUUACCAAGGCUUUGACGGGUAGCCGGCCUGAGAGGGCGACCGGCCACAUUGGGACUGAGAUACGGCCCAGACGCCUACGGGAGGCAGCAGGGGGGAAGAUUGCACAAUGGGCGGAAGCCUGAUGCAGCAACGCCGCGUGCGGGAUGACGGCCUUCGGGUUGGAAACCGCUUUCAGCAGGGGCGAAGCUUGUGGUGACGGUACCUGCAGAAGAAGCACCGGCUAACUACGUG